GCCGCCGUGGUGAAAUGGCAGACACGCAGCACUCAAAAUGCUGUGGAGGCGACUCCGUGUCGGUUCGAGUCCGACCGGCGGCAUCA
rnacentral:tRNA from 1 species